GUUGGGAGGAACGGAGGUGGAACCCAUGGACGUGGUGCCAUAUCCCAUCAUUCUGACUCAUCGGGGGAGAGCAAACAUCAUUUCUUUAUCUGAUGGCAUGCAAAAGAGGCAUCGGGAAAACAAAAACGGGCAGUUCCAUGUUUUAUGGGCUACUCUCCGCCCAUCAGUUUCGUUUGGUGUCCAAGAGGGCUGCCUUCCGCAUUUCCAGGUUGAUUCAUUUCAAUGGCCAUCACCAGCACCAGCACCACCACCACCACCACCACCACGACCACCAGAUGCAAACAGCACGAUUUGUCAUUCAUUCAAAAAGUACAACAAACCAACCAAGAAGAUGGGGCAGAGCAAAUUGUGUCAUGUUUGGCAUUCAGAGACACAUAACUUCUAUUAUUAAUACAAAAUGGAAAAUAGCGAGCACAGAAAAUUAUGAAAUAUUCCUAUAUAAGAUCAAAACUCGUUGAUGAGCAACUGUAUCAUCAGUAUCAUCAUCUUAAUCUCACCGCCUGGCGUGCAAAGCAAACAGCCACAGCGAAAAAAGCAUCAAAUUCAAAGCGAUAAACCAUAAAUGAAUAAAAAGGUUCUUUUUUUUUCUGCCAUUUUCAGUUUAGCCAUUUGGCGGGGCAAACGGCGAAUUGAAGUCGCGGCGUAAUUGACGUUAUAGUGAUGAGAUGAGAUCAAAAUGGACCACAAUGAUUGCGGCGAUAAUUGCGACACAGACAGACAGACAGACAGACAGACAAAUAUUCUUUUGGAGCCACGCACCGAGGAAUGAUAAAUGAUAAAUGAAAUGUGCCAGGGAAAAGAUGCAGCAGCAGAUACAGAUACAAGCUACAAGAUACCCAGAGUUCGGAUACGCGGAAAAAUCAACUGGCGAUGAAGACAAUGGAGAAAGGGGGAGGCGGAAAAACCACUUCUGAAUGAAAAGUGCUGCGGAAAAGUGUUAAUGUUCCAGGAAAAUGCCCAUAAGGUUCGCCUGACAAGCUGCUGCUCAACAUUUCGCCCCGAAAUCAACAGAAACUUCAAAGCAACGGAAAUGCAAAAACACUCAUGUGAAGGAAGGAAAAGAAGGGAAAACUUCAAGCAAUCAAAUCGCGCAUCGGGCAGAUCAUCGUGGCCGAAAGCAAGUGCAAUUGGCCAAAACCAGCGCCACAACCAGAUAAAAACUGAAAAAACAAUUUCCAAGCGUUCGCCGCCCGUUGCAAUGCAUUUUAAUUUGACUUUAACUAUUUGCGCAUAUAAUUAACAGCAGCAGUUAGUACACAUAGAAC